CUGAAGAGUUUGAUCCUGGCUCAGAUUGAACGCUGGCGGCAUGCCUUACACAUGCAAGUCGAACGGCAGCACGGACUUCGGUCUGGUGGCGAGUGGCGAACGGGUGAGUAAUAUAUCGGAACAUACCCUAGAGUGGGGGAUAACGUAGCGAAAGUUACGCUAAUACCGCAUACGCACUAAGGUGGAAAGUGGGGGAUCGCAAGACCUCAUGCUCAUGGAGUGGCCGAUAUCUGAUUAGCUAGUUGGUGAGGUAAAGGCUCACCAAGGCGACGAUCAGUAGCUGGUUUGAGAGAACGACCAGCCACACUGGAACUGAGACACGGUCCAGACUCCUACGGGAGGCAGCAGUGGGGAAUAUUGGACAAUGGGCGCAAGCCUGAUCCAGCCAUGCCGCGUGAGUGAUGAAGGCCUUAGGGUUGUAAAGCUCUUUCAGUGGGGAAGAUAAUGACGGUACCCACAGAAGAAGCCCCGGCUAACUUCGUGCCAGCAGCCGCGGUAAUAC
rnacentral:rRNA from 13 species